GGGGUUGUGGCUCAGUGGUAGAGCACUCACCUGGUUUGUGCGAGGCCCUGGGUUCGAUCCUCAGCACCA
rnacentral:tRNA from 1 species